UGGGUGUGGAUCCUUAUUGGGUGUCCCAUCUACUAGUGUGAGAUGUCACACCAGUACAGCUCCUUCCUUAUUUGGUUGGCUUUUGAAGGCAAUUGGAUUGGAGUUCAUCCUAUUUUUCUACAGCAUCUGACGUCCAUACGAAGUAGAGGGCAUGCACAUCUAGGCCUCCGUGAAGGUUUAUAUCAGAUAAUUUAAGAUUUGAUCUCUGGUUCCACUGUAAAUCAGAUAAAUAU
rnacentral:lncRNA from 1 species